AUGCUUACAGGCAGGGGAGAUACCAUGGUCACAAAGGUGGUUUUUCCGGGGCCAGGCUUAUGCACUGCACCCUGGAUGUGCUGACCCCUAUGAUUUCCUUAAACGUGGGAAACUCAACUGCAUAAUUUGUGGUAGUGGGGGACUGUGUUCGUGCUCUCCUCUG
ensembl:snRNA U1 U1 spliceosomal RNA